UUCAAUUGAGAAUAAUAAUCCACUUUCAAUGGUUGGCGGCAAUAUAACUGGGAAUCCACUGUUCUCCAAAAUGGUGGCUCCAGUCAGUCAUCUGGACUUAUUAUUACAGCUUUUCCUCCAGAUCUGCUGCUCCCAGCUGUACUGAGUGACUUCUCUGCAGGACCCUCACAUGUGGACCAGACUAUGAGCUUAAUGACAGUGGAAAGAUGGUUUGUGGGUCAUCAGGCUGAAGCUGAAAUCUAUGAGUGCCCAAGAGGAACAAAUUGCAGGAUACUGAAAGCCUGGAGGAGCGACACAGGAGCCUUUACAUGAGCUUACUACUUUCAGACAGUCUUCUUAAAGCGAUCUUCAGAGAGUUCAUAGACUGAUCUUCACAGCGGCAGCUGCUCUGGCUUUUGGACCUCUACAGAGUGAAGAGGGCAAAAACACUGGUUCUAUUAAGUUGUGAGCAAAUAAGUAUUAACCUGGAUACUUUGCAAUCUUUUAGGCUUUUUUAGUUAAUAGGAUUUAUGCUUCCUUCUUUGCAAGAUUUAUGCUUCUCUUAUGCUAAAACAUACCAUAUUUCAGUACUGUGAUGUCUUACUGCAGCAAUGAAUCUAUACUGAUGACUGUGAGAGGAGAAACAUAGAGGCAGCUAAUUCAUUUUGAAAGCUUUAUAUAAUUUUACAUAUCAGCCUGAGUCUGUACCUAUUUAGCAGUAACAUUUGCUUUUACACUUCAUGUACAUGCUUCAUUCCAUUGGCAUUUAGAGUGAUUUAAAUGACUACAAGCCACAGGAGCAGAUUUUUGAAUCUCAGGCUCCCUGUGGCUUUUUCAAUGCCUGUUUGCUUUUUAUAGCUUUGAUUCUUUUUCUUACAAUGAUUAAGAGUUGAGACUAACACAAAACAAAACAAAGUCCUGUCUGAAUGUAUUUAGGACCUGGCAUGAAAUAUAGCCAAGAAGAGACAAAUUAUAAAUGACAGUACUCCAGCAGACAGAAUGGAUGUAAAAUUAAUAAAAGUGGGACUGCUGAUUAACUUGAUCACUCCAUGAAUGAUGAUAUAGGAAGUCUGAGCAAAUGCCAGAGAUUUAUUUAUUAAAAAUGCUUAGGAGCACCAUGCUGGUGUUUGACCUUCUCCAUUGAGUGAACUUUAAGGAUUCACAUUCUGCAGCAGUACACUUUACUAGCAAGUCUAAAAUAGCACUAUAGUUUUAAAAUGUACUUCUUCAUAGCAUUGCUCUUGAGAAUUAGGCUUAGUUUUCCAAGAUAGAAGAGCCAUAAAUGUUGAUCCAUCAUUAUUUGAACUGUACUGCACACUUAGUUUUUAUGUGGAAGAAUAGUGUUAAAGAGCCAAUUUGAGGACUUUCAUGAAAGCAUACCAGUACUAAAUAUGGAUUGUUUGCAGUUGGAAUUGUUUUUAAACUAGGUCCUUCAGUUUGUUUUUUUUUUAAUAUGAAAAGUUGUCUACUUUAAGGAACAAGUGCUCUGUAGUAUUGCUAAAGAAAAUAUAGAAAAGAAAAAUAUAAUUUAAAAUUUCUCUUUUGGGUUACCCCCUUGAUAUUACGCGUCUAUUACAUGCCUAUUUUUCUUUUUCUAUAAUUUAUAUAUUAAUUUAUUUCAAAACACAAAUUUCAUUACAUUUGACCAGGGAAGUAGUAGAGUCACCAUCCCUGAAUGUGUUUAAAAGAUGUAUAGAUAAAGCUCUUAGGGACGCAGUUUAGUGCCUUUGAUAGGUUAACAGUUGGACUUGAUGAUCAUGAAGGUCUCUUCCAACCAAAAUGAUUCUAUGAUUCUAUAAGUUACUAAAAUCUUCGAAUCUAUCUAAUCUGAUAUUUCAAUGCCACUAAUUCACCUUGAAAGGAUAAUCUUCUCAAGAGCCUGAAGUUAAGGAAUUAGUAUUCUUUUUACCUUGGAAACUGCAAAAUAUUAGAAACCCCAAAACCAGACAAAUGGCCUGGAUUUAAUAAUUUUAUAAUAUUCAGAAAGAAGGUUAGGCAAGUUUUAAUCCAUAUUUUCUGUGCUCAAAAGUGCAUUUGACCCUGUCCUAAAUCUAACAAGGGUUCAAAAAUUCACAAUCCCAUACAAAUUAUAUAGACAUUAGUACUUAACAGAAUCCUCUGGAUUCUUGCAAGAUGAAAAACUGUGACCCUAAACUUUGGUCCUGGUAUGUGCAGUCCUAAUCUUAAAUACAAUGGGCAGCCUGAAACAUAAAACUAAGCCAGACACCAUUUGCACCAGGAAAGUAUAAGCCACUUUUACUGUUGUCACCUGCUGUCAUCCUAAACAGGCCUUCUCACUUGUAACUUUAGUUUUAUGCCCAUGCUCAGUGGAGUCUUCUGUUGAGAGAACAUCGCUUUCGCCUUAAAACCAGUUCUCAUUGCAGAACAGGGAACUCUGAAUCCUCAAGCAUUAAACAGAUUUUUUGUGAGUUUCCUGAUUCUAUACCUACCCUAAUCCAAUCCUAACUGUAGUCAGAAACCUCUGCAAAUAACAGAAAAAUAUGCAAAUUAUUAUUUCCUUCUGGAACAAAUCCUUAUUGUGAACUAACGGCCCUCCCAAGAUCUAUCUGUAUUAGAACAGAAUGAAACUCUCCCCUCAUUUUACAUUGUAAUCCAGUAUUAAUUUAAUCUUCAGCUGCUGCCUUUCCAAACCAUACUUAUGAUACCAAAUCUAGCCAAGACAAAACUGGUACACAGAACCCAAACACUUGCUUUUCUCCUCUUCAGCACGAUUUCUCAACUUAAACUGACAGGGCUUUUGUCACCCAGUUGAUUAUGUAGUUAUGCAGUUGAUUAUGUAGUUUCUGCUUUCUUUGACUAAACUCUUACUCAAGACUUAACUGCCCAGAGAACCAGUUCCCUGGACAACAGAAAAUAAAGGUAUUUGUCUCUUUGAACCAGCCUUCCUCCUCCUAACAGUGGGCCUGGUGGGAGGAGGUCUCAGUAACAGAGUUGUUAAGUUCUUGUACUCCAAAAUCCUUAUUAUAAUUUUAACUAGAAGCUCCUCUAUGGACUAGAUUAAAAUAUGAAUUGUUUCCUUUAAAAAAGAAAAAAGUUUUAUUCCUCCCUCAGAGCCCUUCGGAAUGCAUAAACCUGAAGUUCUUAUUUUUGCUUAUCGCAGCCCAAGGUCUAAGCCCUAAUCAGCAUCCAGAACAAGUAAAUUUAAAAAAAUUUUAAAAGGACCCUUUUUCCCUUUUUUUUUUCCUUUUUUUUUUAAUCCCUGAAACCAUCAUUCUACACCAAAUACUGCAGGACCAAAUACUGAAACUGGCUCCUCAAGAUCUGCUGUUUGUAUUAAGAAUUCCCAAAUCACUAAGGAGUAAACCUCUAUCCAUAGGAUCUGUCAUGAUCUUUACAGGAUCUCAAAUAAAUCUAACUCCUUGGCUUGUCUAGUCCACGACCUUAAUCAUAAUUAUGACCCCAUUCCUAGGUUAUAACAAAUGGAAUAGAGAGAGGGGAAGGGAAAAAACCAAAAACUAAAACAAACAAAAUAACCACCCACAUAAACCAAAAAAUGAUUAAGUUAUUUCUUGUUGCCACAGUGGAACAAAAUGUCUCAGUGAGUCUUGAAGGAUAAAGAAACACAAAUUUAAGUUCAUGGCUUCAGGCCUUGCUCCCAAGAAAGUUAACAUGAACCACAGCUCUACUCAUAUGCUAAUAGCUUUGACAUGUUUACAAGAACAGAACAAAACACCACCAAAAAUACCUUCCAACAUGAAAAGAAGUUUUUCUGGGUAGGCUCCCUGAGACCUACUGCUGUGCAGUGUUCUGUAAACCUCAGUGGAGCCAGCAUCCUAAGUUUGUGCUUCACUGUGCCAGACCCAUAUGUGAAGAAAAGCAAAACAUGAGCUAUAGAUUUACUAUUCAGGUAUGAGAGGAUCCCUUAGUAAAACUCUUUCUCCAUGCUUUGCUCUCAGAAACAAACAUAACUCAAAAAACAGAGCACAGCAGGGUUUGUCUCUACCUACUCCAUCAAAACAAAAUAGAAAUAAUUUCUCAAAAUAGAAGGCUGAACCUUUCAGGAUCAACCAAAAAGACUGGGUCUUCAUCUUAAGAGGAAAUAAUUGUAAGGAUAGUGAGGGACUAUAUAUAUUUAUAGCACUAGAGGGCAAUUUUCUGGCACAGAUUUUUAUCAUAGGUCAGUGAAGACCCAUUCACUCUCUUUUCUACCCUACCAGUGCUGGAUUUUUAAAAUAUUCCCGAGACUUGAGCUCAAAAAAAUUGAGCAAUUCUUUAUAUCUGUCAUGAUGUCUUAUCCUACGUCGCAGAAGCCUUGUAAACUGUGCACUUACAGUAAUAGUCUGCAUCUGAGAAUAACAGGACAUUAUGAAAACUGAUGUCCUUUUUUACCUUGUCUGUCAUCCUAACCAGAACCAUUACCCUAUGACUGACAACACAUAAGAAGUUUCUUGUUGGACUAGAAGAAAAUGUCUGCCACUUUUUGGAACAGCUGCCAGGAAUUCUGCCAGGAACCUGCAGUUCAUCUCUUACCCCAUUAUCUUGAGCUUAAAAACAUACUGCAUAGCCUCCAAGACAGCUUAAGGCAAAAUAUUAAUUACACUCUGUUGGGUUUUAGUCCGGCAGCCAGGCAGGAACCAAGAUAAAGUAAAUUUCUCAGAUACUGUUGUAAGGUGAUGCUAUUAUAAUUCAUGAUACAGCCACUGCUAAGCUUAGCCUUAUUCCACAGGCUUCUUUUGUUGGUGUUUGUUUGUUUGGUGGUUUUGUUUGGUUGGUUUUUGUCUGUUUGGUUUUUCUUCUCUUUUAGAGCAAGCCACAAUUACAGGUGGAAGAACAGGGAAAUAAAACAUUGUCAUACAAGCUUUGGUAAGCAUAAGUCUAACUUCAGACCCAAACCUAAACUAAGCAAAAAACUAGAGACUUCAAACCAGACUUCAGUAAAAAUAUGAUGUAUUCUGUCCCCCUGACUUGAGGAUGCAGGAUUUCAGGAUGCUGUGGGGAAGCAGUGCUUCUCUGUAAUCCUAAUAUUCACCAUUCACCAACAGCCAUAUUCCUCUUACCAAUAUUCUAUCUGCAAUAGUAAACUUAAACGUUAUGCUAUGCUUAAGAGUGAAGAUACUCCACUCUUGGGUGAUGAAUUAAAUACGAAUCACUUUUUGUAGCACUAUAUCAUAUUUUAUGUUCCCAAGCCUUGAAAGGUCUGGUAGUAAAGUAGGCAUCUCAUUCCUUCUCCUUUCUAAUCCUAACUCCAGCUAUAAAUUUAGUAAAAGAUGCCAUCUUCAGAACAUCACUCACCAUGACUCACCCUUUACCAUAGGUUUACUAGUUAUACAGAGACCCUAUACAAUGAAGAAAAUUAAAUAGGAGCUACUUCCUUGCUCUGACACCUAUUAUUAUUUUACAUCACUGCCAAGAUUAGGAGAAAAAAAAUCCUGGAAGUCACUGUCUUCUUCCUGAAUCAUUCUUUAUCACCUCUGAGGAAGUUCUUUAGAAUUAGCAGAUUCCUGCUGUCCAUGAACCCCAGACUACCUAAGACUUAUACCAGGGCUUAACAGUAAACCAGAGACCUCAAAGUAAAUUGCCAUGCUUUGCCUUGAUUGAGAGCCUUUAGUCAGCAGUAAUUGUAGCUCCUAACACAUUGUUCUUCUUAACCAAAAUGCUCCAAAACUUGCUCUACAAUUGUAAUUUCUGGAAUUCUUUGUUCUAAUAUCUGAUGUUAGAGAGUUUUGAAGGAUUCAGUAAUAAAUCAAGGUAUUGACCUUAUUCUGAUACAGUCUUCACCCUGUUUUUAACACUGAUGUUUAGUCACUGUUGUUAUUAAAUUAGGGAAAAACAAAACAAAACAAAACAGAAGCCAUCCUCCCUUCCAGAAUCAAUGACUGAUUAACCUUGUGGGAUUCAGAACUUCUUAAGACUUCCUCUGUAAUCUUAAUUUAGGCUUAAUAAAAGAUUCAGGUGUCACAACAUACAAAUUAUUCUUCAUUUACAAAAUCAGUGUUGUAUAACCGUUUUUGCAGGAUACAGCAGGGAAAAUAAACUCUUACGUUUCCAUCAUCUACUAGCCACAGCUCUGGAUUCUAGUUCUGGGACAGUAAUAUAAGAACUGCCAUUAGUGAGAGGACUGAGAAAAACUCUUCUACUACCAGGAUUCAUUUCACUCCAGAACAAGCACCCAGGAGGCUUUGGCAGAGGACAGCCUUUUGGCUACUGUUCUCCACAACUUCCACAGUCUUAAGAAAAACCCAAAGAAUCAUGUCUGAGCAGGAACAAAACACGAACCAUAUCCUUGUUUCAUACUCAACUUUCUACAAAGCAAAAGCCAUGCAAGAGAGGAAUAUCUUAUUUUUCUGAAGUUUACAACAUCACUCUGGCUCAAGUGUGGGCUUAGCAACAGCAGAUAUUUUAGUCUAGUGUUCAAAUUACAGUGGAAAAGUCAUUCAGAUUAUAGCCAGAAAAGUCAUUAUCCUGGCACUAAGCCAUUUUCUACCAUAGCAAAAUCUUUGGUGUGCAACAGUAUACAACUACACAGUCCCACUGUCAUAGCCUUGAGCGCACCACAUGCCCUGACCACCUCAACUGGGAUCCUCACCCUCCACCCAUGGGCCAGAAGCCCCAUUGCAGCUGAGGUCCUGGGCUGCACUCCUGGACUGAACCAAGCUGUAGGUAGAACCAGCCCUGUUUCUGACUUCUGCUAUCCCUGACUUGCUGACUCCACUCAUGAAUGGACCAGACUUUGCCUGGUCUGAUGAUUGCUGGGCUGUCAACAGAGCCUGUUGCUGGCAUCACCCCUCCCCUGCUUGGGUAUCAUGGGACUGUGCCCUGUUUGGGCACUCACUACCCCAGGUUCACUCCCGGCUCCACAUCCCUUGGGGAGCAGCCCUGUUCUUGCUGUCCCCUGAUGCUCUGUGCUCAGUAUCCAUAACCAUAAUUCCAAUCCU